rnacentral:rRNA from 1 species
CAGCAGCCACGGGAACACGAAGGGGGCUAGCGUUGUCCGGAAUUACUGGGCGUAAAGGGCGCGUAGGCGGCCAUUCAAGUUAGAUGUGAAAGCCCUGGGCUCAACCUAGGAAUUGCAUUUGAUACUGUUUGGCUUGAGUUCGGGAGAGGUGAGUGGAAUUCCCAGUGUAGAGGUGAAAUUCGUAGAUAUUGGGAAGAACACCAGUGGCGAAGGCGGCUCACUGGACCGACACUGACGCUGAGGCGCGAAAGCGUGGGGAGCAGACAGGAUUAGAUACCCCCGUAGUCCCUGUCUCUUAUAC